CACCUUCGGGUGUGAAUUAGCGGCGAACGGGUGAGGAACACGUGAGAAAUCUGCCUUCAACUCUGGGAUAACUCCGGGAAACCGGGGCUAAUACCGGAUAUGAGCCUUGAUCGCAUGAUCGGGGCUGGAAAGUUUUUCGGUUGAAGAUGAUCUCGCGGCCUAUCAGCUUGUUGGUGAGGUAAUGGCUCACCAAGGCGACGACGGGUAGCCGGCCUGAGAGGGCGACCGGCCACACUGGGACUGAGACACGGCCCAGACUCCUACGGGAGGCAGCAGUGGGGAAUAUUGGGCAAUGGAGGAAACUCUGACCCAGCGACGCCGCGUGAGGGAUGAAGGCCUUCGGGUUGUAAACCUCUUUCAGUAGGGAAGAAGCGAAAGUGACGGUACCUACAGAAGAAGCACCGGCUAACUAUGUGCCAGCAGCCGCGGUAAUACAUAGGGUGCAAGCGUUGUCCGGAAUUAUUGGGCGUAAAGAGCU
rnacentral:rRNA from 1 species